rnacentral:rRNA from 1 species
AUUGAACGCUGGCGGCAGGCCUAACACAUGCAAGUCGAACGAGUGGCGGACGGGUGAGUAAUGUCUGGGAAACUGCCUGAUGGCGGGGGAUAACUACUGGAAACGGUAGCUAAUACCGCAUACCAUCAGAUGUGGCCGGAUGGGCUUAGCUAGUGGGUGGGGUAACGGCUCACCAAGGCGACGCUCCCUAGCUGGUCUGAGAGGAUGACCAGCAAAACUGGAACUGAGCAACGGCCCAGACUCCUACGGGAGGAAGAAGUGGGGAACAUUGGACAAUGGGCGCAAGCCUGAUGCAGCCCGGCCGCGUGGAUGAGGAAGGCCUUCGGGUUGUAAAGUACUUUCAUCGGGGAGGCGUUACCCGCAGAGGAAGCACCGGCUAACUCCGUGCCAGCAGCCGCGGUAAUAC